rnacentral:rRNA from 1 species
UAACGCGUAGGAAUCUACCUAGUAGAAGGGGAUAGCCCGAGGAAACUCGGAUUAAUACCGUAUACCUCCUUAGGGAGAAAGAGGGCCUCUCUUGAUGCUCUCGCUAUUAGAUGAGCCUGCGUAAGAUUAGCUUGUUGGUGAGGUAAUGGCUCACCAAGGCUACGAUCUUUAGUUGGUCUGAGAGGACGAUCAGCCACAUUGGGACUGAGACACGGCCCAGACUCCUACGGGAGGCAGCAGUGGGGAAUAUUGGACAAUGGGCGCAAGCCUGAUCCAGCCAUACCGCGUGUGUGAAGAAGGCCCUAGGGUUGUAAAGCACUUUAAGCAGGGAGAAAAAGUUAUAAGUUAAUACCUUAUGGCCUUGAUGUUACCUGCAGAAUAAGCACCGGCUAAUUCCGUGCCAGCAGCCGCGGUAAUACGGAAGGUGCAAGCGUUAAUCGGAAUUACUGGGCGUAAAGCGCGCGUAGGUGGUUUGUUAAGUUGGAUGUGAAAGCCCUGGGCUCAACCUAGGAACUGCAUCCAAAACUAACUCACUAGAGUACGAUAGAGGGAGGUAGAAUUCAUAGUGUAGCGGUGGAAUGCGUAGAUAUUAUGAAGAAUACCAGUGGCGAAGGCGGCCUCCUGGAUCUGUACUGACACUAAGGUGCGAAAGCGUGGGUAGCGAACAGGAUUAGAUACCCUGGUAGUCCACGCCGUAAACGAUGACAACUAGCUGUUGGAAGACAACGUCUUUCAGUGGCGCAGCUAACGUU